rnacentral:lncRNA from 1 species
AUGGGCAGGAUGCUUUUUCUUCUCACUCCUCUCUUAGGAGUUGUUUUCUGUAGUCAUGGUAAGCUGUCUGGACCAGAGUUAGUGGUAAGAGUCAGCCCGGGCGAUAACAUCACUCUUCACUGCGACUGCCAAAGAUCAAGCGGCAAAUUCAUAGCUUGGUUUAGGAACUGUUCUCAUGAGAACCAGCCUUCACUCAUUCUAAGGACAAACUACAAAUAUGAUCCAUCAUACCUUGAGGACAAAGUAAAUAUUCUCAAUCCAUUCCCUCGUUUGCAUUUAGUGGAAAACCAGUCUUCUGACUCCUAUGACCUGUUGAUCAUGAACACUACUGAUUCUGAUGAGGGUCUCUACUACUGUGGAACUGAACAGAAGGAGGUUGACACAACAUUUUCUCAGAAAUAUAUUUACAAAUACAGCAACAUCACAACCAGGAUUCUGAUGAACUCCACUGUGACUUGUCAUGACAUCCGCAAACCUCAGGAGGACUGUAGCCUGUGCUGGAAGCUGCUUUUCACUCUGUGUCCUUUUAUUGUUGCUCUCUUCUCUCUCUUCUCCUCUGUACUGUUUUACCAGCUUCGCCAAAAAAUAGAAAAUAAUAAAUCUCAAGAUGACAUGAAGACAACUGAAAGCCAAAGUCACAUAAAACAGGAUGAAGAUGUGUGUUAUGCUGCUCUGGAAAUUCGUCAAGCAUCACAGAGACCAAAAAAGAAGAAAAUUCAAAGUUCAGACUUUAGCACAUAUUCCUCCAUCAAUACUUCCCAGAUAUAAGAAUAUUCACAUUUAAAAAUAUGAUAACAAGGUAGUUUUCUACCACAUUUAAGAUGAAAAGCAAAUGAUAGAUUUGGACCUUCUUGUUUUAUCAGCUUUUCAAACCAACUUUGACAUGCUAUUCACAAACCCGUGAUUUUAUCUUGUUUUCAGUCGCUUUGGCUGAAGACCUUUGAUGACUUGAUAUUGUUGUACUGCUUAAUAGAUUCCUCACAGCAGAUAUUUCCAGAAGUAAACUGUGUUGAAUUAAUAGUGGCAUAAAAAGAGAAUGAAGUUUGCCUAGUUAGUUCAAAUAAAGUUGUACUGUGAAGGAAGAUUACCGACUAAGGAAGUGUGUUAAGCCUAAAUAGAGCAUUGUGAGAGAAAAACGUACAUGAAUUGAAAUGGCGAUACAGUAAAUUAAUGAUUGUGUAACUGACUGAUUGCAACUGUUUUUGUAAUAUUGACUAAUGCAGCACAUUAGAAAUCUUUCAGUCUAUUUGUAGACAGAUUAUUCAAUCAGUAAAUGUAACUUUUUGAUUUGUCAAAAACUAACAUGAAUUUAACAUUUUCCUCAUUUUGGGGUAAUGUCUGACCUGAAUGCGCUUCAUUAGUAUGUCCAUAUUACUUUAUUAUAUCUAAUUUGAUGUAGUCAAAAGUUUAAUGGUUUAAUGAGAACCGGUGAAAUGAUAAUCAGCACUCAGUCUGUUGAGUGGUAAAUUAAUGCAUUACCUUGGCUAAGUGACAGUUUUCUGCAGCAUGCAUAAUUUCCCUAGUGUUGUAUUUGCUGUUGUAGUUUUUCUUUGUAGAUUUCUAUCGCCUAUUUCUCUUAUAAUGUCCCAUCUAAAGUAGAUGGCAUUCAGUCUGUCCAUUUUUCGAGCAACAAUAGUCAAACCAUUCCUCAAAUACCCCCUUUUAUGUGAGCGUGCAUAGAGCCUGAAGUCUGGGUUAAGGGUGAAAGUUAUGUUUCCAUUUAUGUUUUGUCAAUGCAAAUAAAACCUGGCUAUGGUCAGCCUCUAAUCAUACAAUAUUUGCGGGCCUAAACAAAUUAGAGGAGUGCAAAAAUUAAGAAGGCAAGGCAAAUAAUACAGGCUUCACGAUUUAUCUUAUCAGAUUUGUCUUAAUAAUGCAAAACUGACUUUGAAUCCAAGACCACAUUUGCCUCUUGGUUAGUUUUACAGUUGAGUUUGAAAUUUCUUGUUUUCUGUUUUAAAGGAAUUGCAUUAGUAUCUUUUCAUCUCUCUGAAUGCUGAAAUGAUUUCUGACAUUGUUUAUUUACUUGUUUUUUAAUACUUUGAAGUUCUGUUUUACUUUUUUUUACUGUCAUCUUUUAUUAUGUUUUAAACUGUAAAGCGAUGUUGUUUUUAAAUGUGCUUGUUUAUAAAUAAAGAGACUCAAUU